AUUGAACGCUGGCGGCAGGCCUAACACAUGCAAGUCGAACGAGUGGCGGACGGGUGAGUAAUGUCUGGGAAACUGCCUGAUGGAGGGGGAUAACUACUGGAAACGGUAGCUAAUACCGCAUACUAUCGGAUGUGCCCAUAUGGGAUUAGCUAGUAGGUGGGGUAAAGGCGCACCUAGGCGACGAUCCCUAGCUGGUCUGAGAGGAUGAACAGCCACACUGGAACUGAGACACGGUCCAGACUCCUAAGGGAGGCAGCAGUGGGGAAUAUUGCACAAUGGGAGCAAGCCUGAUGCAGCCAUGCCGCGUGUAUGAAGAAGGCCUUAGGGUUGUAAAGUACUUUCAGCGGGGAGGCGUUACCCGCAGAAGAAGCACCGGCUAACUCCGUGCCAGCAGCCGCGGUAAUUC
rnacentral:rRNA from 1 species